AUGCAGGACUUGCGCCGACCGUGCCCCAAAGAGCACCUCGGACACGCCGGGAAGAACCGACUACCGAAGACCACGCCGCGACCCAAGCUCCUCUCGACGCCAACACCAUUGCCAAACAGAAACCAGCGCCCCGCCUCAGCAAACCACGCGGCGAAGAUGCCGCCAUUGACGGCGAAGAUGCCAUCAUCCUCCAGUCUCUCAGUCGUCGCCGGCUCCGAGACGAUGCCCCCAACGAGGAGAAAGACGCGAAGACGCCUCCAUCGCCCGAUCCAGCGGAUCUGA
rnacentral:rRNA from 1 species